UACGUAGGUGGCAAGCGUUGUCCGGAAUUAUUGGGCGUAAAGCGCGCGCAGGUGGUUUCUUAAGUCUGAUGUGAAAGCCCACGGCUCAACCGUGGAGGGUCAUUGGAAACUGGGGAACUUGAGUGCAGGAGAGAAGAGUGGAAUUCCACGUGUAGCGGUGAAAUGCGCAGAUAUCAGGAGGAACACCAAUGGCGAAGGCAGCUCACUGGGACGGUAUUGACGCUGGAGACGCGAAAGCGUGGGGAGCAAACAGG
rnacentral:rRNA from 1 species